AAGUCAAUGGCACCGACACAUUGUGGGGAGAAACAGCCCUGACUGCCGCCGCAGGAAGAGGGAAGCUGGAGGUCUGUGAGCUGCUGCUGGGGCAUGGAGCUGCUGUGUCGCGGACAAACAGGAGAGGGGUUCCACCUUUGUUUUGUGCAGCACGCCAGGGGCAUUGGCAGAUUGUUAGACUGCUGUUGGAACGCGGCUGUGAUGUGAACCUAAGUGACAAGCAAGGCCGGACGCCCCUCAUGGUGGCUGCUUGUGAAGGGCACUUGAGCACCGUGGAAUUCCUCCUUUCAAAAGGUAGCAGCGUGAUGCCCUCAAAGGUUUCUUUUGGACGGACACAGAGAGAACUUUAGCAGACCCAUUCAGUGCUUUCUGAUUCAAAUUCUAAGUUUUCUGUUAAUGGAAAUUUUCUAAUAAACAGUAGAGAGAAUAGGCAACACAGCCACAUGCCUGGUAUUCCUCUUCAGCAGCGAUGACCAUUCUGCCAGCCCAUCCGGCCAGUGUCACCCUUCACAGUGCUUGACUGACACUUGGUUCAGGCCAGGUGUUCCGCAGGUGUGAAAUGAUUUGCUUUCUGGCUUUGUCAUCUCAUAAUGUUCAUGUUCUGUGAAUGGGCUUUCCUUUCAGGUGCAGCCCUUUCUUCUCUAGACAAAGAGGGUCUGUCAGCAUUAAGCUGGGCUUGUCUGAAAGGUCACAGGGCAGUGGUCCAGUAUCUGGUUGAAGAAGGAGCUGCAAUAGACCAGACAGACAAGAAUGGCCGCACACCCUUGGACCUGGCUGCCUUCUAUGGCGAUGCCGAGAUUGUGCUGUACCUGGUGGAGAAGGGAGCCGUGAUCGAGCAUGUGGACCACAGCGGGAUGCGGCCCUUGGACAGAGCCAUCGGCUGCCGGAACACAUCUGUAGUGGUGGCGCUACUCAGAAAGGGAGCCAAGUUAGGAAAUGCUGCUUGGGCGAUGGCCACUUCCAAACCUGAUAUCUUGAUUAUACUUUUACAGAAAUUAAUGGAGGAAGGAAAUGUGAUGUACAAAAAAGGGAAAAUGAAAGAGGCAGCCCAGAGGUACCAGUAUGCCUUAAGAAAGUUUCCUCGAGAAGGAUUCGGAGAGGACAUGAGACCCUUCAAUGAAUUAAGGGUUUCCCUCUAUCUCAAUUUGUCGCGAUGCCGAAGAAAAACAAAUGACUUUGGCAUGGCAGAGGAAUUUGCUUCCAAGGCUCUCGAAUUGAAGCCCAAGUCCUAUGAAGCCUUUUAUGCCAGAGCAAGAGCGAAGAGAAAUAGCAGGCAAUUCGUGGCAGCUCUGGCUGACCUGCAAGAGGCUGUGAAACUCUGUCCCACCAAUCAGGAAAUCAAGAGGCUUCUGGCCCGCGUAGAAGAGGAGUGCAAACAACUCCAGAGGAGUCAACAGCAAAAACAGCAGGGCCCGCUACCAGCCCCACCCAACGACUCCGAGAACGAAGAGGACACCCCAACCCCUGGCUUAAGUGACCACUUUCAGUCUGAGGAGACUGAAGAGGAAGAAACUUCUCCCCAGGAAGAAUCUGUUUCCCCAACUCCCAGGUCCCAGCCAUCCUCAUCUGUCCCUUCCUCAUACAUCCGAAACCUUCAAGAAGGGUUACAGUCCAAAGGAAGGCCAGUAUCGCCACAGAGCAGGGCAGGAAUCGGCAAGUCCCUGAGAGAGCCUGUGGCCCAGCCAGGGCUGGUCCUGCAGCCCUCCAAGCAGGCCCAGAUCGUGAAAACCAGCCAGCACCUGGGCUCUGGCCAGUCGGCAGUGAGAAAUGGCAGUAUGAAAGUUCAGAUCUCUUCUCAGAACCCUCCUCCAAGUCCCAUGCCAGGGAGAAUCGCUGCCGCUCCUGCUGGGAGCAGAACCCAGCAUUUAGAGGGAACAGGUACUUUCACUACAAGAGCUGGUUGUGGCCACUUUGGGGAUCGGCUGGGCCCCAGCCAGAAUGUCCGCCUGCAGUGCGGUGAGAAUGGCCCUGCACACCCUUUACCAAGUAAGACGAAAACCACAGAGAGGCUUCUGUCUCAUUCCUCCGUGGCUGUGGACGCAGCCCCUCCAAACCAAGGUGGGCUGGCGACCUGCAGCGACCUGCGACACCCAGCUUCCCUCACCAGCUCAGGCUCUUCUGGUUCUCCAUCCAGCAGCAUAAAGAUGUCAAGUUCAACCAGUAGUUUGACUUCGAGCAGCAGUUUUUCAGAUGGCUUCAAGGUCCAAGGACCAGAUACUCGAAUUAAAGACAAGGUUGUAACCCACGUUCAGAGCGGUACAGCUGAGCACAGACCCCGCAACACGCCGUUCAUGGGCAUCAUGGAUAAGACUGCGAGGUUCCAACAGCAGAGCAAUCCUCCAAGCCGCACCUGGCACUGUCCGGCGCCAGAGGGGCUGCUGACAAACACGUCUUCUGCAGCUGGCCUGCAGUCUGCUAACACUGAGAAGCCCUCUCUCAUGCAAGUGGGAGGAUAUAAUCACCAAGCCAAAACCUGUUCUGUUUCUACCCUGAGUGCAAGUGUCCACAAUGGGGCACAAGUGAAGGAGCUAGAAGAAAGCAAGUGCCAAAUUCCAGUUCACUCUCAAGAGAACAGGAUAACUAAGACUGUUUCUCAUCUGUACCAGGAAAGUAUCUCCAAACAGCAGCCUCAUAUUAGUAAUGAAGCCCACAGGAGCCACCUCACUGCAGCCAAACCAAAGCGAUCAUUUAUAGAGUCAAAUGUGUGAACCUUAAGAAAGCCCCAUUUGUGGAAUUUGGAAACGUGUGUUGACUCCUGGUGGUAAAUUAAAUAGUUUUUUUCAUCAUAAAAAUUAUUUUUUAGCCAUUUUUUUUCUUUGGGGUGGAUCUGAUGCCAUUGAUAUAUCUAAAAUGUGGGAUAAAACUUCUUUAAUAGCUAGAAAUCACCAUAAAUAAGAAUGCUAAACAGAAUUGAAAAUUAUAUCAACUUAAAAUUUUAAGACAGCCCAGAAGACAUUAAUGACUCUCACUUAUGAAAUUGUUUGGCUUUUGCCACUUUCCUCCUUGCCUUUGCUAUAUGGUAGAAUCACAGAACUUACUUAGAGAAUAAAUAUGUCUAUUGUUCAAGAGUGACAGGUUUAACUCAUGACCAAGUGAUGUACAUCCAAGUGAUGUAUUCUGGAAACGAUGGAAUUUUACAGUUACAGUUCCAUUGAGUCAAAUCCCAUUUUAUAUAUACAUAAAAAUUAAGUUCUGAGUGAGUUCUAGCUAAAUAUAAGUGUGACUGUAAAUGCAGCCAUUUUUUUUAAGCAGAAUAUGAGAACACCUAAGUAUUCCCUUCAUAGCAGUUCCUAUAAAGGGAUUAAACACUUAUUUCUGUGUUCUGGUUCUUAUUCAUAUAUUUUUAUAGCACCUUUUUUUGGAACCUAUAUUUGUGCUUGAAGGUGUUUUUGAUAUUUGGAAACAGUAUAAGCCAUUUGGAGUCAUGAUUGGUGGUCAAGUGGAUUCAAGCUAAAAUACUAAGACCAGCAUUCUUAGUGGCGCUUAUAAAUUAGCUCUCACCUGGUUUCCAAACUGCUUUUAACAAUGGUAGUGCUCCUGGAACAAUCCUUCCAAGCUCCUCUAAGGACAAUAUUUAAUUCAGAUACUAAAGGUAAGACUGGUUGUUACUUUUGUUUUGUUGUACAAUUAGUACUUUAUAGUCACAUGUUGUAUAUAUUAAAUAGCCCAGUUUUAUUCAGACUUGUAAAUAGAACUAUUUCAAUGUAGUUAAUCUAAAAACAAAAAAGAAAACCCCAGUCAUGAUUUGCAUGUUCUCUGUAAGCUUCAUCGAUGCUGGUUAUUGCACUGAAUGAUAUAUUAUUAUGGCAUGUUAACAGUAUACCAGUAACAGCACUUUAUCUCAUUUAUAUGAACACCUUUGAGGUGCUACUUAAGUCCAAGCUCUGAUGUAUUAUUCAUUUGUAAAGAUAAGGUACAGGAAUGAACCUUGGUUUAAAGGUAUUUUUAUAUGAAAAUGGUGUGUUAUUGGAAGAUGUUAAAAUGCUAAUUUGAGAGAAGUAGGAGUGUAUCUGUUUUAUAUGUUGGGAUGUGAAAUUUAUUUUCUAAAAUUGAGGAGAAGGAAGUUAUAUAUUUGUAGAAUGUUUUAAAGUGAAUUGUUGUAAUGAAGUUCCUGUGAACAUCAUUAUGGUUUUGUACAAAUAGGAACCUCUGAUGUCAUUCUUCAACGUUUGUUCCUGUGUGUACAAUUGUACUUUGUAUGAACAGCUUUAUCAUUUUUAUAGGCUUUCCAUGAGUUUUGCUGUAACUACUAUGGCUUAUUUAUUUUCUUUAAUAUUUGUGAAAGUCUUACUCCUUUGUUAGUUUUGUUUCUGCACAACUACUGUACUUUUCCAUAUGGAAUAAAGACUAUUAAU
rnacentral:sRNA from 1 species